rnacentral:rRNA from 1 species
ACGAACGCUGGCGGCCUGCCUCACACCUGCCAGUCGCACGAGACCUUCGGGUCUAGUGGCGCACGGGUGCGUAACGCGUGGGAACCUGCCCUUAGGUUCGGAAUAACUCCCCGAAAGGGGUGCUAAUACCGGAUAAUGUCUUCGGACCAAAGAUUUAUCGCCUUUGGAUGGGCCCGCGUUGGAUUAGCUAGUUGGUAGGGUAAAAGCCUACCAAGGCGACGAUCCAUAGCUGGUCUGAGAGGAUGAUCAGCCACACUGGGACUGAGACACGGCCCAGACUCCUACGGGAGGCAGCAGUGGGGAAUAUUGGACAAUGGGCGAAAGCCUGAUCCAGCAAUGCCGCGUGAGUGAUGAAGGCCUUAGGGUUGUAAAGCUCUUUUACCCGGGAUGAUAAUGACAGUACCGGGAGAAUAAGCGCCGGCUAACUCCGUG